CAGUUUUGUUGCGAUUUCCACGAGAAAACAAAUAAUGGAUGUGUGGAAUGUGAGGAUGGUUUUGAGUUCUUUCAGGGUUCUCCUUGUAAACCAUGUUCAAACAACACUUAUGGCAACGGGUGUACGGAGAAGUGUGUAUGUACGACUAACCAGCGAUGUGAUCACAUAAAUGGAUGUGCGGACGUUAUAGCAACCGUAGAUUUGUAUCAGGG